CCCUUAGAUGUCCUGGGCCGCACGCGCGCCACACUGAACGGAUCAGCGCGUUUUCCCUUCCCGAGAGGGACGGGUAACCUGCUGAACCCCGUUCGUGGUAGGGAUCGGGGCUUGCAAUUAUUCCCCGUGAACCAGGAAUGCCCAGUAAGUGCAAGUCAUAAGCUUGCGUUGAUUACGUCCCUGCCCUUUGUACACACCGCCCGUCGCUACUACCGAUUGAACGUUUUAGUGAGGUACUCGGACUGAGCCUCAGAAGAUUCACGUCUUUUGUGCUGCUCGGGAAGAUUCCCAAACUUGAGCGUUUAGAGGAAGUAAAAGUCGUANCA
rnacentral:rRNA from 1 species